UCGGGAAUCUUGCACAAUGGGCGAAAGCCUGAUGCAGCAACGCCGUGUGAGCGAGGAAGGUCUUCGGAUCGUAAAGCUCUGUUGUUGGGGACGAAGGGCGAAGGGUUAAUAGCCCCUAGCCUGACGGUACCCUUCGAGGAAGCCCCGGCUAACUACGUGCCAGCAGCCGCGGUAAUACGUAGGGGGCGAGCGUUGUCCGGAAUCAUUGGGCGUAAAGCGUCCGCAGGUGGUUAUUCAAGUCUGCUGUUAAAGACAGAAGCUCAACUUCUGGUCGGCGGUGGAAACUGGGUAACUAGAGUACGGUAGGGGUUGAGGGAAUUCCCAGUGUAGCGGGGAAAUGCGUAGAUAUUGGGAAGAACACCAGUGGCGAAGGCGCUCAACUGGGCCGUAACUGACACUCAGGGACGAAAGCUAGGGUAGCCAAAGGGAUUAGAUACCCGUGUAGUCC
rnacentral:rRNA from 1 species